rnacentral:rRNA from 1 species
UACAGAGGUGACAAGCGUUGUUCGGAAUUACUGGGCGUAAAGGGCGCGUAGGCGGCCUUCUAAGUCAGACGUGAAAUCCCCCGGCUUAACCUGGGAACUGCGUCUGAUACUGGAAGGCUUGAGUGCGGGAGAGGGAUGUGGAAUUCCAGGUGUAGCGGUGAAAUGCGUAGAUAUCUGGAGGAACACCGGUGGCGAAGGCGGCAUCCUGGACCGACACUGACGCUGAGGCGCGAAAGCUAGGGUAGCAAACGGG